rnacentral:rRNA from 1 species
UGAAACUGCGAAUGGCUCAUUAAAACAGUUAUAGUUUAUUCGAUAAUUUUCUACAUGGAUAACCGUAGUAAUUCUAGAGCUAAUACAUGCUGUCAAACCUGACUUCGCGGAAAGGUUGUAUUUAUUAGAUAUAAACCAAUACCUUCGGGUGUUGUGAUGAUUCAUAAUAACUGAGCGAAUCGAGGUCGUACCUCGAUAGAUCGUUCGAGUUUCUGCCCUAUCAGCUUUCGAUGGUAGUGUAUUGGACUACCAUGGCGGUCACGGGUAACGGGGAAUUAGGGUUCGAUUCCGGGGAGGGAGCCUGAGAAACGGCUACCACUUCUAAGGAAGGCAGCAGGCGCGUAAAUUACCCAAUCCUGAUUCAGGGAGGUAGUGACAAGAAAUAACA